rnacentral:lncRNA from 1 species
UCAAUGUCAAACAAACUCGGAGGGACCAAAGAAGGUGUAGAAUAAAUUACCAUAAUGGUAUUGAAAGAACUGCAAGAUUUGGAGUUUUUCUUUGUCGGUUGAGGUUGACUGAAAGUGAGAGAGAUGAGAACUUUACCUUGGAAGCCAGGUGACUCCUUCAACUUGUGGUUUAUAACUUUAUUGCGAUUUGUUACACCUAAUCCAUCUUUUUGUCUUCAUAAGCAUUAUUAUAUAUUACAUUGCAAGAGGAAGCAGCCAUUUCCAGCUCAAUUAUUUGUACUUUUGCUAAUUGUAAACGCAUUUCUUGGUACCAAAAUCAAAGAUUAAGAAGAUAAUAUUUGUAUUGUUUUGGUGGGGGGAAAUGGAUUGAAAAAAACAUAAUUGUUUGCGCUAAAUCAUGAUACUAUACACAGAAAGGAAAGAGGAAAGUACCAGCAGUUCAUUCCAAGCAGAACGGAACGUCGACAAAGCAAUUUUGUAUCGAAGCCUUAAAUAAAAAACAUCCAUUACUCACAGCAAGUCCUCCGAGCGCAGUAAUUCGUAGGGUCGAAUUCUCUCCAUUUUUCAUGUCCAUAGUGUAUAUCAGACCAUUCGACGCCGGCAAAAAGGACGCCGUUGGCCACCGACACAGGCGCAUUGCCUGUUUCACUGGCGACCAGAGCAUUAGGCCGGUAAUGGCGUCCGGCGCCGCCCUCCGUCGUUGUGUGGUUAGCCGGCGCU